GACGAACGCUGGCGGCGUGCUUAACACAUGCAAGUCGAGCGGUAAGGCUCCUUCGGGAGUACACGAGCGGCGAACGGGUGAGUAACACGUGAGUAAUCUGCCCUUCACUUCGGGAUAACCACCGGAAACGGUGGCUAAUACCGAAUACGACCAGUCUUCGCAUGAGGUGCUGGUGGAAAGUCUUUUCGGUGAAGGAUGUGCUCGCGGCCUAUCAGCUUGUUGGUGGGGUAAUGGCCUACCAAGGCUUCGACGGGUAGCCGGCCUGAGAGGGUGACCGGCCACACUGGGACUGAGACACGGCCCAGACUCCUACGGGGGGCAGCAGUGGGGAAUAUGGGACAAUGGGCGAAAGCCUGAUCCAGCAACGCCGCGUGAGGGAUGACGGCCUUCGGGUUGUAAACCUCUUUCAGUACCGACGAAGCGCCCUGUCGGGUGGUGACGGUAGGUACAGAAGAAGGACCGGCCAACUACGUG
rnacentral:rRNA from 1 species